AGAAGAGCAACAAUGGCCAGACCACAUGGGAAGCAUUUCAGAGCCUAUUUAUGCGGAUGUUGCAAGGCAAAAAAAUGGUCACGAUUGCGGCGUAUAUUUGUUAGAGUUUGCAAGAGUAAUAAUAAAGGAGGGAUGCAUCAACUCAUCGAUAGAAAAUAUAAACAGUGAGGGAAGACGUACGCAGCUAAAAGAGCUUCUUCAGUCCCUGUAACAGUCGACCUGUUUACACACAAUGAAAAACAGGCGUUAUAUAAAUGGUCAAUGCUCGGCACAUUUGUUCAAUUACUUCUUCAUAUAAACUCUGAUUGUGUCAUGAGGUGCAACAUUACUACUACAUAGAAUAAUCGUGGAGUAAAUAUAUAUACUUAAUAACUAAUGAGUACCAGCAUUAUCCAUUGACGUUGAAAAGCUAUAAUAUCGUGCGAGUUAUGAUUUCAACAUUUUAAAAAUUGAUUUCAUUCAUUUUCAUAUCCAAAAUUUUUCAUUAUGCUAUAAAUGCGAAAAAUAUGAAGCUGUUUGAGGACAAAAUGUUACAGCUAUACGUUACGCAGACAUGUCAUAAAUAUGACGUAUUUUCUUUAAAAUGAUGAAUUUAGAAAAAUAUUUCAACUGUUACUUAGACUUUUUUUGUUUGUUCCAAAGUGUUAGCAUUUCGUUUCAACAUGGUUCCCAAUUAAAUAAUACUGGUUUUCAAAUACUA